rnacentral:rRNA from 1 species
AUGAACGCUGGCGGCGUGCCUAAUACAUGCCAGUCGAGCGAACAGACGAGGAGCUUGCUCCUCUGACGUUAGCGGCGGACGGGUGAGUAACACGUGGAUAACCUACCUAUAAGACUGGGAUAGCUUCGGGAAACCGGAGCUAAUACCGGAUAAUAUAUUGAACCGCAUGGUUCAAUAGUGAAAGACGGUUUUGCUGUCACUUAUAGAUGGAUCCGCGCCGCAUUAGCUAGUUGGUAAGGUAACGGCUUACCAAGGCAACGAUGCGUAGCCGACCUGAGAGGGUGAUCGGCCACACUGGAACUGAGACACGGUCCAGACUCCUACGGGAGGCAGCAGUAGGGAAUCUUCCGCAAUGGGCGAAAGCCUGACGGAGCAACGCCGCGUGAGUGAUGAAGGUCUUCGGAUCGUAAAACUCUGUUAUUAGGGAAGAACAAAUGUGUAAGUAACUAUGCACGUCUUGACGGUACCUAAUCAGAAAGCCACGGCUAACUACGUG